CUUUUUUUUUUCACCUUGAAGACGACGCCUAAAUUGCGAUCUUGUAUUUACACUAAUUCGUUGUAUUCAGAAGGUCCGUUUCUUGUAUUUAUCAGUUUUAAAGACCGCCAAGCCGUAAUUAUGCUAUUGUCAAUAAUAAAUACAGAACAAGAGUCUACUUUGACUGGAUUUGAUUGGAAUAUCAUUUUCAAGGCUGUCUGGUGAACGUUUCGAGAUGUGGGACUAAUUUAUGCAUUUCCCAAACGUGCUGCUUUGGAGCACGGCUAUUUUUUUUUAUCCUCAGAAAACGUACUCUCAGGUAAAUUACUUUCUAAAUCAAUGAACGGCAUGAUGAUAUUGUAAAGAGGCCGUUCUUUCAGAUGAGAAGGCAAGGGGAGAUCAAUUUUCCGGGCUGACAUAGGCUUUUCAGUACACGACACACUGGCCUGACGUUAAACACAGAUGCGCGCGAAUUUCGGCUGUAUAAUAUGGAACGCCGUUUGGGUCUUUAGUGUCAAAAAGAUACACGUCAAAUAACACUAUUUGAGGCGUCAAAUAACACUAUUUGACACGUCACGUAAGCUUCUUUACCAAUCUGCACCUGCAUAUGACCCCACGUCACAUAAUAAUUUAACACUUUGUACGUAGUUUAUUACACAUUGAUUACACUCUCACUCUAUUUCAUACGUCACAACGAUUCACCGAUACGUGUCGCUAUGAGUCAUAGAUUUUGUCACCGAUGAUAACAUUUGCAUAAAGGCCAUUUGGACUCCGCCCAAGUCUCAGGUACUGAUGAAAGACAUUCACUCAACUUCUGUUCUCCCGAGGUAAAAAAAAAUCAAUGGCUGCCCAAUUUCUGGAAGAUCGUAAAUCUACCAUCUCUGAUUUGCACCAGACUGCUGCUCACGGACAGAAGAGAUGGACUUCAACCAUCAAUAGCCCGUAUCCUAUCAAGCGUCUUUGGAGGGAAGGUGGUAUCACAUCACCAAGGAGCAGCUUGAGGUGGAGGAUUGUUAUCCAUGGUGCUGUGGAUGGUUACAGCAGACUUGUUGGGUUUCUGAAGGCCUCUGACAACAACAGGAGUGCCACAGUCAUGGAUGUCAUUCGAAGCAGCCAUCACCAGCUACGGAGUACCAUCCCGGGUGAGAUGUGACCCGGGUGGUGAAAACAACCGUAUCUGUGCCUUCAUGGAGCAAUUCAGGGGUGGUGAGAGGGGAAGUGCCCUCAGAGGAAGGAGCACACAACCAGAGGAUAGAGUGGCUGUAGGGGGACGUCUGGCAUGGAGUCUCCAACGUUUACCAUGACCUGUUCACCUUCUUGGAGACGGAGCAGAUCAUCGACAUCAACAAUGGGGUGGACCUGUGGGCACUGCACUUUGUGUUCCAGCCACGGAUGAACAGAGAUCUUGCUGUGUUUGCCAGUCAGGGGACCCACCAUGGGCUGAGGACUGAACAACGGCAGUCACCUCUGCAGUUGUUCGUCUCGGGCUCCCUGGCAAUGCAGAGGGCCAAUCUGACAGCUGUAAGGGAUUUGUUUGCCCCAAAUUCAACCACCAUCAGCUCUCAAGCCACCACCUCAGCUCCUCCUCCAACAACCAUCACCUCAGCGCCUCCUCCAACCACCACCUCAGCUCCUCCUCCAACAACCAUCACCUCAGCGCCUCCUCCAACCACCACCUCAGCUCCUCCUCCAACAACCACCACCUCAGCUCCUCCUCCAACAACCAUCACCUCAGCGCCUCCUCCAACCACUGGCGCCGCAGCUAUUUAUUGGUCGGAAUGGGUGAUUGUGCCACAAACCCAGUUCACCAUCAGCAACACACAGAUGGAGCUGUUGUGGACAAUAAUUCAAUUGGAAGUCCCCAGAGGCAGCCUGGGAGUUGACAUUCUACAGAGGGUUAUGGCAGUUAUAUCUUCAGCGCCACUCGUUCCUACUUCAACCUGAUUUAUACUCCCCUACUGGGAUGAGGGAUUGGAUGCUAUAUCUUCAGCUCCACUCCUUCCUUUGAAUCAGUUCAUUUUUAUAAUACUAUUAUACAUUUUAUAAUACUAACAUUCCCCCUCUCACACACUGUAUGAUUUGGUCUCUAGAAAGGUGCGACAGACAUUUACAACUCUAAACAGAUGGGGACCAGAGUUUAGACACAGGUGGCCUUAACAAAAGUGACGUACUUCUCCAUUCCGUUAUGAUUUUGUUUGCUCAUAUUUGGAGAGUGUCAGGUACUGUUAAGAUAUAAGGCUGAAGGUUAUUGUAUUUUGCUCUAUGGCGCUUUAGCACAGCAUUCCAUCUGCUGACACAAUGUUUGUCUUCCACUCAGUAUAACACGACCCAGGAGAGGCCUACUGCAAGCACUGGAUUAGAGCCUUCAGAGCGCGCCUGCUGUGGGAGGACAACAGAACAUUCUGAAUGGACAUUAUUAAAACAGAACUUGCAUUUUUGUAAUGCCCAAUCGGGACUUUUAUAAAUUGUUAAAAUAAAUGUGUGGAGAAAGCCCUAUAGUUAAAAAAAAUAAUUUAAAAAAACUAUGAAGAUAGGGAUUCGGCUCCCGUUACAUUUUAUAUCUUUGUGAUUAACAGCAACCGAUUACAGUUACUAACAUAACAUUGUUGACACAUUGUGGCAGCUCAAAUGAUGUGGUUGAAGAUGGACUAGUGCAGGGCUCUCCAACCCUGUACCUGGAGAGCUACUGUCUUGUAAGUUCACUCCAACCCUAAUCUAGUGCACCUGAUUUGAAUAAUUACCUGCUUAAUAAAUUAAUCAGGUUAGUUACAAUUGAGGUUGGAUUGAAAACCUACAGGAGGGCAGCUCUCCAGGAACAAGGUUGGAGAGCUUUGGACUAAUGGAUCUAGUUCUUAGAUCAAUGCAUUUGAAAUUCGAUAAGUUACUACGAAGGUGCAGUUCCCAGAAGUGGAGCUGUCACUUAAUACAGUGGAUGGGAAGUCUUAUUUCAUGUAGUUCUAAUUAAAUGAUUGUUGAAGUUUAUUGUUCUUAAUGUAGGACAUCAAAUUAUCAGAUUUGGAUGAGUUGGCUGCGAUAUGGCAGGAGUACUUCAGUCAAUAUCAGCAAAGGAUAUUGGUUAUUAGUGAAGUGUCAGUAAAGUGUUUCUAAAAAAUAAAAAAAACGCCAAGACAAGCAAUAUGGAUUGUAAUAAUUUAAUUUUAAAGGAUCAUUAAGUGCACAAUAACAGCCGAUAUGGAAAUACAGUGCAUUUGGAAAGUAUUCAGACCCCCUUGACUUUUUCCACAUUUUGUUACAUUAGAGCCUUAUUCUAAAAUCUAUUAAAUAAAUUAAAAUGUAGCGUCAUACCCAAGAAGACUGAUGUAAUCGCUGCUUCAGCAAAGUACUAAGUAAAGGGUCAUACAUGUAAUAUAUCCUCUUUUUUUAUAUAUACAUUUGCAAAAAUGUAAACCUGUUUUUGCUUUGUCAUUAUGGGGUAUUGUGUGUAGAUUGAUGAGGGGGAAAAUUUUAUCCGUUUUUUAAUAAGGCUGUAACGUAAUAAAAAGGCAAGAGGUCUGAAUACCAUACAAACAAGUAGAUAAAUGCUUAAAUGUCGAUGUGCUGUUACAUUUUCAGACACUCAAUUGCUACUGUAGUUUAGUGCUACUAGAUACAAUUAUGUGUCGUAAAAAUGUUUUUAUGCAACACCGAAAUGUGGGGAAUUCACAAUACCGGAGGUCAUGAAUUCCCUAAAGGCAUUGUAGGUGCUAUGAAGAGGGAGCCUUAGUGUCACAGCACACGUGUUUGCCACUGGGUACUUUUUCUUCUACUGCCUAGCGAGACUCCCUCGCGCUGUGUGUGAGGAAUUCGAUGGUCGGGGUGUCCUCAAACCCAAGGGGUGGCAUCACCGUUGCCCCAGUAGCAAACUCCAACACCAUCGCCACUGUUAGA
ensembl:lncRNA